rnacentral:lncRNA from 1 species
CUCGAUCUUUCACUGGAUCUCCUGACCCUGUGACAUCGUCUGUGGCAAGGAGCCCGUUGGAGGAUGAAAUAGGAUCUGGAUAAAUGUCCUAGCUGCUGACAUCAGUGAUGAAAUAAUAAUGCCCCUGCAGCCGCCCUUCUGUGGCAUAAUGACCCAAGCAGAUGGAGACGGAGGAGAAGGCUUCCUGGAAAGGGCUGCCUGGAGGCUCACCUGUGCUGCAAGAGGUGGAAGGGCUGCAUCCUCUCUGGAGCCAAAGCGUUUCUCUCCCUUGGAUGGAGCUGCCAGAGGCUUCAUGGCAUUCCUUGGACACCAGAAAUUGGGCAUCAGGCUCAAAACUCCACGUGAAUCUGGGCUGAGCAGACUGUAAACCAACUGAAUGAAAAAAGCAGCUCUUCGAGAAGCAAAAUUCACACCCUUCACACAAACUCCCAUGCUCCGAGAAACUUUGGCUUCACACACUGCCAGAGGAAACUUCUCAUAAACCACUGUAUGUUGGUUUAUGCACUGCAAAUCCCACAGAAUAUAUUAAAAAAGGUAGGGCUCAAGUCUGAGAUGUUACAGUGCAAAUGAACCUCCAGGGAGAUGAAUAUUUAAG